CCGGGCCUUGUACACACCGCCCGUCACACCAUGGGAGUUUGUUGCAAAAGAAGUAGGUAGCUUAACCGCAAGGAGGGCGCUUACCACUUUGUGGCCGAUGACUGGGGUGAAGUCGUAACAAGGUAGCCGUAUCGGAAGGUGCGGCUGGAUCACCUCCUUU
rnacentral:rRNA from 1 species